GAUGAACGCUGGCGGCGUGCCUAAUACAUGCAAGUCGAGCGAACAGACGAGGAGCUUGCUCCUCUGACGUUAGCGGCGGACGGGUGAGUAACACGUGGAUAACCUACCUAUAAGACUGGGAUAACUUCGGGAAACCGGAGCUAAUACCGGAUAAUAUAUUGAACCGCAUGGUUCAAUAGUGAAAGACGGUUUUGCUGUCACUUAUAGAUGGAUCCGCGCCGGAUUAGCUAGUUGGUAAGGUAACGGCUUACCAAGGCAACGAUGCGUAGCUGACCUGAGAGGGUGAUCGGCCACACUGGAACUGAGACACGGUCCAGACUCCUACGGGAGGCAGCAGUGGGGAAUCUUCCGCAAUGGGCGAAAGCCUGACGGAGCAACGCCGCGUGAGUGAUGAAGGUCUUCGGAUCGUAAAACUCUGUUAUUAGGGAAGAACAAAUGUGUAAGUAACUAUGCACGUCUUGACGGUACCUAAUCAGAAAGCCACGGCUAACUACGUG
rnacentral:rRNA from 1 species